UAUUCGUACCAUGUUUCACUGCUGGGGCAGAAUAAAUGCCUUUGAUGAUAAGUUUGCUUUUGUGAUCUUAAAGGUCUUCCUGGACAUGCCCUGAUACUGGAUGUUAGGACAAGAUGGAACAGUGUGUUUCUAAUGGUAGAGCGCUUUAUGGAACAAUACCCUGCCAUCCAGGCAGCUGCAAUGGAUCCAAGGCUGAAAAGGGCAAUGGACAGAGACAGUGGAGUGAGUGUCAGAUGACGUCGUCAGAAAGUGUGAGGAUUUCAUUGACACCAUGAGGGUAUUUUACCAAUCGACGCUCUGUGUGUCAUCCGACAAGAGUGCCACUGCAGGCCAGAUCCUCCCCAUUCUUGAAAACUCAAAGAGAAGCUCAAGGUGGAAGAUGAUGAUUAUUCGUUCAAGAGAGCCAUCAAGGACAAGGUCUGGACAGAUCUCUCCUCACGCUACACAUAUGCCAAGGUUCAGGAUGAGGCUGCUUGGACCUGCUUGGAGGAAAAAGCUUUCACACUGGCAACAAGCAGAAAG